AAAAAGGGCAUUCGGCGCAACUGCCGUACGCCGCGUUGUUCGCGUGGUGUGCAGAAUCGCUAUCAAGAGAUUCUGAAUGCGGAAUUUUUAGAAUUGGGGCAGUUGGUUGCCGUUCGCACCGGCGCCCCC